UAACGUUAGUAGGUGAGCUCGCGGGGCUCAA
rnacentral:piRNA from 1 species